UUUUUAUUUCAGAAAGUGCAGACAAGCAGCUUUCAAGAUAAAAAAUCCUAAAUGAGCUAUUGUUAUCUAUGCUUUAAAGCCUUUCAGAAAGUCUCUUUCACAAAAUUCAAGAUAUAUUUUGAUUUUACCUUAUAUUCUACAAUCACUAGCUGCUUAAUUGUAAUAUCUUCCAGCUCAUUUAUUUGACAUUAUUUAUUUAUGAAUAAAAUGAGGUAUUUUUGUUUCAUCAUUUGCUAUAUUUUAUUUAAAAAUUAUGAUGAAUCUCAUAAAUUAGGAUAAUUAUUUUAGGACCAUGAUGAGAUCAUGCCAGUGAG
rnacentral:lncRNA from 1 species